AGGAACAACGCUGGCGGCGUGCCUAACGCAUGCAAGUCGGGCGGGCGCUCCCUUCGGGGGGUGUCAGCGGCGGACGGGUGAGGAACGCGUGGGCAACCUGCCCCGAAGUGGGGGACAACUCCGGGAAACCGGGGCUGAUACCGCAUACGUUCGCCCCCUCGACGGGGGGUGAGCAAAGCCUUACGGCGCUUCGGGAGGGGCCUGCGUCCGAUUAGCUAGUUGGCGGGGUGACGGCCCACCAAGGCGACGAUCGGUAGCUGGGUCUGAGAGGACGACCAGCCACAGGGGAACUGAGACACGGUCCCCACACCUACGGGUGGCAGCAGCGAGGGAUUUCGGCAAUGGGCGCAAGCCUGACCGAGCAACGCCGCGUGCGGGACGACGCCCUUCGGGGUGUAAACCGCUUUUUCCCGGGGACGAUGAUGACGGUACCCGGGGAAUAAGCCUCGGCUAACUACGUGCCAGCAGCCGC
rnacentral:rRNA from 1 species